rnacentral:rRNA from 1 species
UCGUACGAGAAAUCCCGAGCUCGCUUGGGAGAUAAAGUCGGCGCACGGGUGAGUAACGCGUGGGUAACCCACCUUCGAAUCUGGGAUAACUCCGCGAAAGCGGUGCUAAUACCGGAUAAGACCACAGCCGUUUCGGCGGCAGAGGUAAAAGCUGACCUCUCCAUGGAAGUUAGCGUUCGAGGACGGGCCCGCGUCCUAUCAGCUUGUUGGUGGGGUAAAGGCCUACCAAGGCAGCGACGGGUAGCUGGUCUGAGAGGAUGAUCAGCCACACUGGAACUGGAACACGGUCCAGACUCCUACGGGAGGGCAGCAGUGAGGAAUUUUGCGCAAUGGGGGAAACCCUGACGCAGCAACGCCGCGUGGGUGAAGAAGGCUUUCGGGUCGUAAAGCCCUGUCAGGUGGGAAGAACCGUUUCGAUACUAAUAAUGUCGAAGCCUGACGGUACCACCAGAGGAAGCACCGGCCAACUCCGUGCCAGCAGCCGCGGUAAUACGGAGGGUGCAAGCGUUGUUCGGAAUUAUUGGGCGUAAAGAGCGUGUAGGCGGUUCGGUAAGUCAGAUGUGAAAGCCCUGGGCUCUACCCAGGAAGUGCAUUUGAAACUACCAGACUUGAGUACGGGAGAGGAGGGGGGAAUUCCCGGUGUAGAGGUGAAAUUCGUAGAUAUCGGGAGGAAUACCAGUGGCGAAGGCGCCCCUCUGGAUCGAUACUGACGCUGAGACGCGAAAGCGUGGGGAGCAAACAGGAUUAGAUACCCUGGUAGUCCACGCCGUAAACGAUGAGCACUAGGUGUAGCGGGUAUUGACCCCUGCUGUGCCGUAGCUAACGCAUUAAGUGCUCCGCCUGGGACUACGGUCGCAAGACUAAAACUCAAAGGAAUUGACGGGGCCCGCACAAGCGGUGGAGCAUGUGGUUAUGACGCCAAGGGAGAACUUACCUGGGCUUGACAUCCCGACACCUGAACAUGUCUCCCUUCUUACCAGGUAACG